GACGAACGCUGGCGGCGUGCCUAAUACAUGCAAGUAGAACGCAGUUGCGAACGGGUGAGUAACGCGUAGGUAACUGCCUCAUAGCGGGGGAUAACUAUUGGAAACGAUAGCUAAUACCGCAUACUGUGAGAUGGACCUGCGUUGUAGUAGCUAGUUUGUGAGGUAAAGGGUCAACAAGGCGACGAUACAUAGCCGACCUGAGUGGGUGAUCGGCCACACUGGGAACGAGACAAGGCCCAGACGCCCACGGGAGGCAGCAGGAGGGAAAUAUCGGGAAUGGAGGGAAGUCUGGACGAGGAACGGCGGCGGAGUGAAGAAGGUUCUCGGAGUGUAAAGGUCUGUUGUUAGAGAAGCGGUAACUAAACAGAAAGGGCCGGCUAACUCCGUGCCAGCAGCCGCGGUAAUAC
rnacentral:rRNA from 1 species